GGUUGAUCCCGCCAGUAGUCAUAUGCUUGUCUUAAAGAUUAAGCCAUGCAUGUCUAAGUAUAAGCUUUUAUAUGGUGAAACUGCGAAUGGCUCAUUAAAACAGUUAUAGUUUAUUUGAUGUUUGUUUCUACAUGGAUAACCGUGCUAAUUGUAGGGCUAAUACAUGCUCGGGCUGUUUACAGUUGCGUUUAUUAGACCUAAAACCUCCCCGCUUUUGCGGUGUUUCGGUGAUUCAUAAUAAAUUAGCGAAUCGCAUGGCUUUGCCGGCGAUGUAUCAUUCAAGUUUCUGACCUAUCAGCUUUGGACGGUAGGGUAUUGGCCUACCGGGGCAACGACGGGUAACGGGGAAUUAGGGUUCGAUUCCGGAGAGGGAGCCUGAGAAACGGCUACCACAUCUAAGGAAGGCAGCAGGC
rnacentral:rRNA from 1 species